rnacentral:lncRNA from 1 species
AGCAGACAAACCCUGAAAUUAGUAUGCCUUGUGUAGAUUUGGCCUGAAGAUGGGUAAAAACCUGAUCUGUACCAGUCAAACUGCAGUUCAGCUUUAGCCCCACAGCUCUAAAGGCAUGCUUGGUCUGGUACUCAGCAGCCACCUUUCCUGCACCUCUGAUCCAUGGCUGAGAUGUGGGUAGGUCAUUCUUUAGGGUGAUACGACUCUUUUUAUAAGGAAGAUUAUAACUUACAAAAGGAUUUUCACAAGGUGUGUGGUGUUGAAAGUUUGUUUCUUAAAAUCAGCUCUUCUGAGAAAUUCUGACAUCAGAAUAUGAUUAACUGUGCUAUUCCUGUUGUAUCUUGUUUCAGGAAGUCAACGGUAGUGCCAUGGAAGCGGGAGGGUAUUAUUUUACAUAGCACGCAGAUUUAAUUUCAAGAUGUAUGCUGACAGCCUAUGCUACUCUCUCUGUCAUAAUAAAACAAGCAGCAAUAUGGAUACCAGAAAGAGGAGCACAGCUAGAGUUCUUUCUCCUCUUAAAUCAUUUUCCAAGGCAGUACAACACUCGCAACAUC